AAGUCGUAACAAGGUUUCCGUAGGUGAACCUGCGGAAGGAUCAUUAUUGAAUAAAAUUUGAACAAGCUGUUGCUGUCCCUUCCUUUCAGUUGGGUAUGUGCACGCUUGUCAUCUUUAUUUCUCCCCACUGUGCACAUAUUGUAGACCUGAGAGCUUUUGAAUUCAUUUUCGAGUUGGGACUGCUGCAACAAAAAACAAAGUUCAGCUUUGCCUUGCAUUUUUGGGUCUAUGUCAUCUUUACAAACCUCUAGAAUUGUUUGGAAUGUUGAAUGCAAAGGUCAUUUUGUACCUAUAAAGUUAUAUACAACUUUCAGCAACGGAUCUCUUGGCUCUCGCAUCGAUGAAGAACGCAGCGAAAUGCGAUAAGUAAUGUGAAUUGCAGAAUUCAGUGAAUCAUCGAAUCUUUGAACGCAUCUUGCGCUCCCUGGUAUUCCGAGGAGCAUGCCUGUUUGAGUGUCAUUUAAGUUCUCAACCACGAACAACUCUGUUGCAUCGUGGCUUGGAUGUGGGGGAUCAUAUUGCAGGCUUUCAAAGUCUGCUCCCCUGAAAUGCAUUAGUAGUAUCUGAGCAGAAACUACAAGGUGUGAUAAUUUAUCCAUUGCCUUUAGUAUGCUGCAAGAAAAAACCAGAUCACACUGCUUCCAACAACAAAAAAGUGGAUUUUAACCGACCACAUUUCGUUUUGAUAAAUUUGACCUCAAAUCAGGUAGGACUACCCGCUGAACUUAA
rnacentral:rRNA from 1 species